CCUACGGGGGCUGCAGUGGGGAAUAUUGGACAAUGGGCGAAAGCCUGAUCCAGCCAUGCCGCGUGUGUGAAGAAGGCCUUCGGGUUGUAAAGCACUUUCAGUGGGGAAGAAAGCCUUGGGGCUAAUACCCUCGAGGAAGGACAUCACCCACAGAAGAAGCACCGGCUAACUCCGUGCCAGCAGCCGCGGUAAUACGGAGGGUGCGAGCGUUAAUCGGAAUUACUGGGCGUAAAGCGCGCGUAGGCGGUCUGAUAAGCCGGUUGUGAAAGCCCCGGGCUCAACCUGGGAACGGCAUCCGGAACUGUCAGGCUAGAGUGCAGGAGAGGAAGGUAGAAUUCCCGGUGUAGCGGUGAAAUGCGUAGAGAUCGGGAGGAAUACCAGUGGCGAAGGCGGCCUUCUGGACUGAAACUGACGCUGAGGUGCGAAAGCGUGGGUAGCAAACAGGAUUAGAUACCCCGGUAGUC
rnacentral:rRNA from 1 species